rnacentral:rRNA from 1 species
GACGAACGCUGGCGGCGUGCUUAACACAUGCAAGUCGAGCGGAGCGGCGAACGGGUGAGGAAAGCGUGAGUAACUGCACCCCUCUCUGGGAUAACAGUUGGCAACGGCUGCUAAUACCGGAAAGUGGGGGAUGACUCGCGUCCUAUCAGCUUGUUGGUGGGGUAGUGGCCUACCAAGGCGACGACGGGUGGCCGGCCUGAGAGGGCGACCGGCCACAUUGCGCUGCGAUACUGCCCAAACUCCGUCGGGAGGCAGCAGGGGGGAAUAUUGCACAAUGGGGGAAGCUCUGAUGCAGCAACGCCGCGUGCGGGAUGACGUCCUUCGGGUUGUAAACCGCUUUCAGCCAUGACUCGGUAGUGGCAGAAGAAGCACCGGCUAACUACGUGUCAGCAGCCGCGGUAAUUC